GACGGGGGAUGCAAGUGUUAUCCGGAAUCACUGGGCGUAAAGCGUCUGCAGGUGGUUUCCUAAGUCCACUGUUAAACCUUGAGGCUCAACCUCAAAUCUGCAUUGGAAACUAGGAGACUUGAGUAUGGUAGGGGUAGAGGGAAUUUCCAGUGGAGCGGUGAAAUGCGUAGAUAUUGGAAAGAACACCGAUGGCGAAGGCACGCUACUGGGCUAUUACUGACACUCAGAGACGAAAGCUAGGGGAGCAAACAGG
rnacentral:rRNA from 1 species